CCUACGGGUGGCAGCAGUGAGGAAUAUUGGUCAAUGGGCGGUAGCCUGAACCAGCCAAGUCGCGUGAAGGAAUAAGGCCCUACGGGUCGUAAACCUCUUUUGCCUGGGAGCAAGGUCGGGGACGUGUCCCGGCCCGGAGAGUACCCGUAGAAAAAGCAUCGGCAAACCCCGUGCAAGCGGCCGCGGUAAUACGGGGGAUGCGAGCGUUAUCCGGAUUUAUUGGGUUUAAAGGGUGCGUAGGCGGUCUUUUAAGUCGGCGGGAAAAAUUCGGGGCCAAACCCCGUCAGGCCGUUGAAACUGGGGGCCUUGAGUGGGCGAGAAGAAGGCGGAAUGCGUGGUGUAGCGGUGAAAUGCAUAGAUAUCACGCAGAACCCCGAUUGCGAAGGCAGCCUGCCGGCGCCUUACUGACGCUGAGGCACGAAAGUGUGGGGAUCGAACAGGAUUAGAUACCCGAGUAGUC
rnacentral:rRNA from 1 species